AUUGAACGCUGGCGGCAGGCCUAACAAAUGCAAGUCGAACGAGUGGCGGACGGGUGAGUAAUGUCUGGGAAACUGCCUGAUGGAGGGGGAUAACUACUGGAAACGGUAGCUAAUACCGCAUACCAUCGGAUGUGCCCAGAGGGGAUUAGCUUGUAGGUGAGGUAAAGGCUCACCUCGGCGACGAUCCCUAGCUGGUCUGAGCGGAUGACCGGCCACACUGGAACUGAGACACUGUCCAGACGCCUACGGAAGGCCGCAGUGGGGAAUAUUGCACAAUGGGCGCAAGCCUGAGGCAGCCAUGCCGCGUGUAUGAAGAAGGCCUUGGGGUUGUAAAGUACUUUCCGCGGGGAGGCGUUACCCGCAGAAGAAGCUCCGGCUAACUCCGUGCCAGCAGCCGCGGUAAUUC
rnacentral:rRNA from 1 species